UGAAAGACUGGUUCCCGUACGAUCAGCGAAGUUAAGCAACGCCGAGCCUGCUCAGUAAAUAGAUGGGUAACAGCCUGGGAAUAUCAAGUGCUGUAAG